rnacentral:rRNA from 1 species
UAGGGAAUCUUCGGCAAUGGACGAAAGUCUGACCGAGCAACGCCGCGUGAGUGAAGAAGGUUUUCGGAUCGUAAAACUCUGUUGUUAGAGAAGAACAAGGACGUUAGUAACUGAACGUCCCCUGACGGUAUCUAACCAGAAAGCCACGGCUAACUACGUGCCAGCAGCCGCGGUAAUACGUAGGUGGCAAGCGUUGUCCGGAUUUAUUGGGCGUAAAGCGAGCGCAGGCGGUUUCUUAAGUCUGAUGUGAAAGCCCCCGGCUCAACCGGGGAGGGUCAUUGGAAACUUUGAGACUUGAGUGCAGAAGAGGAGAGUGGAAUUCCAUGUGUAGCGGUGAAAUGCGUAGAUAUAUGGAGGAACACCAGUGGCGAAGGCGGCUCUCUGGUCUGUAACUGACGCUGAGGCUCGAAAGCAUGGGGAGCAAACAGG